GCGGAUAUGGCGUAAUUGGUAGCCGCGCCAGACUUAGGAUCUGGUGCCGAGAGGCGUAGGAGUUCGAGUCUCCUUAUCCGCACAA
rnacentral:tRNA from 1 species